UGAGGCUGUGGCUCAGUGGUAGAGCACUUGCCUAGCAUGUGAGGUACUGGGUUCGAUUCUCAGCAUAUAA
rnacentral:tRNA from 1 species